AAUAUGAAAAUGCAAUGCCAUUAUUUUAUUUUAAAGACAAAAGAACAAACAGUAUGGGGGUUACAGGGAUAUACACUUCUCCCUUUGUGCCCUAAUAAAGGUGCAGCGCUUCAGAUUGAGGGUCAAGUAUAUGCAACCUCACAAGGAUGGUCUCCUGAACCUAGAGGUCAAUGGUCACUAGAGCUAUGGCCCCCUUCAUAGCAUCUCCACAACAGUCGAGUAAUCAACUAGAUGAGGAGACACAGGUGAAGAGAANAGACUCUAGCUNNAGUUCUCACGAUAGCCAGACAGGAAGUACAUCCUAGAGUGACACCGCUACAUAACUCCUCUAAUUCUAAGUUACGCUCAGACCCGGGUAUAGGGCCCCACUCAAUAGAUGCAUAAAGUGUGUGUGUGAAGGGANAAUGCAAUGCACCCAAACCCUCACCUGCAAAACAACCANAAGAUUCCCAGGCAGAUAUAACAUGUUUUCUAGCCUAGGGUUCCACAUCAAGACAAUUCACACGC
rnacentral:lncRNA from 1 species